rnacentral:rRNA from 1 species
GACGAACGCUGGCGGCGUGCUUAACACAUGCAAGUCAAACGGUAAGGCCCUUCGGGGUACACGAGUGGCGAGCGGGUGAGUAACACGUGGGUGAUCUGCCCUGCACUUCGGGAUAAGCCUGGGAAACUGGGUCUAAUACCGGAUAGGACCACUGCCUGCAUGGGUGGUGGUGGAAAGCUUUUGCGGUGUGGGAUGGGCCCGCGGCCUAUCAGCUUGUUGGUGGGGUGAUGGCCUACCAGGGCGACGACGGGUGGCCGGCCGGAGAGGGUGACCGGCCACACUGUGACUGGGAUACUGCCCAGACUCCUAGGGGAGGCAGCAGUGGGGAAGAUUGCACAAUCGGCGCAAGCCUGAUGCAGCGACGCCGCGUGAGGGAUGACGGCCUUCGGGUUGUAAACCUCUUUCAGCACCGACGAAGCGCAAGUGACGGUAGGUGCAGAAGAAGGACCGGCCAACUACGUGCCAGCCGCCGCGGUAA